UACGUAGGCAGCAAGCGUUGUUCGGAGUUACUGGGCGUAAAGGGUGCGUAGGCGGCCCUGUAAGUAUGGUGUGAAAUCUCCCGGCUUAACUGGGAGGGUGCGCUAUAGACUGCGGGGCUCGAGUGUGGGAGAGGAAAGUGGAAUUCCUGGUGUAGCGGUGAAAUGCGUAGAUAUCGGAAGGAACAUCAGUGGCGAAAGCGGCUUCCUGGUCCAGCACCGACGUCAGGCACGAAAGCGUGGGGAGCAAACAGG
rnacentral:rRNA from 1 species